AUUGAACGCUGGCGGCAUGCUUUACACAUGCAAGUCGAACGGGGUGGAGGGGCAACCUUCCAUUCAGUGGCGAACGGGUGAGUAAUGCAUCGGAACGUGUCCCGUAGUGGGGGAUAACGCCGGGAAACCGGCGCUAAUACCGCAUAUGCUCUACGGAGGAAAGUGGGGGACCUGAAAGGGCCUCACGCCAUGGGAGCGGCCGAUGUCCGAUUAGCUAGUUGGCGGGGUAAAGGCCCACCAAGGCGACGAUCGGUAGCUGGUCUGAGAGGAUGAUCAGCCACACUGGGACUGAGACACGGCCCAGACUCCUACGGGAGGCAGCAGUGGGGAAUUUUGGACAAUGGGGGCAACCCUGAUCCAGCCAUGCCGCGUGCGGGAAGAAGGCCUUCGGGUUGUAAACCGCUUUUAGCCGGAAAGAAAAGGCGGAGGCUAAUACCCUCCGUUCUUGACGGUACCGGCGGAAUAAGCACCGGCUAACUACGUGCCAGCCGCCGCAGUAAAAC
rnacentral:rRNA from 1 species